rnacentral:rRNA from 1 species
GACGUAGGGGGCAAGCGUUGUCCGGAAUUAUUGGGCGUAAAGCGCUCGUAGGCGGAUCGGUAAGUCUGUGAAGAAAGACCCGGGCUCAACUCGGGGAACGGCAUAGAUACUGCUGAUCUUGAGACAGUCAGAGGAUGAUGGAAUUCCAGGUGUAGCGGUGGAAUGCGCAGAUAUCAGGAGGAACACCGAUGGCGAAGGCAGGUCUCUGGGCCAUUACUGACACUGAGAAGCGAAAGCAUGGGGAGCGAACAGG